rnacentral:rRNA from 1 species
GACGAACGCUGGCGGCGUGCUAAACACAUGCAAGUCGAACGGAAAGGCCCUGCUUUUGUGGGGUGCUCGAGUGGCGAACGGGUGAGUAACACGUGAGUAACCUGCCCUUGACUUUGGGAUAACUUCAGGAAACUGGGGCUAAUACCGGAUAGGAGCUCCUGCUGCAUGGUGGGGGUUGGAAAGUUUCGGCGGUUGGGGAUGGACUCGCGGCUUAUCAGCUUGUUGGUGGGGUAGUGGCUUACCAAGGCUUUGACGGGUAGCCGGCCUGAGAGGGUGACCGGCCACAUUGGGACUGAGGUACGGACCAGACUCCUACGGGAGGCAGCAGUGGGGAAUAUUGCACAAUGGGCCGAAGCCUGAUGCAGCAACGCCGCGUGCGGGAUGACGGCCUUCGGGUUGUAAACCGCUUUCGCCUGUGACGAAGCGUGAGUGACGGUAAUGGGUAAAGAAGCACCGGCUAACUACGUG